rnacentral:tRNA from 1 species
GGAGAGGUGGCAGAGUGGCUGAUUGUACCGGUUUCGAAAACCGGCGUGUCGAAAGACACCGGGGGUUCGAAUCCCCCCCUCUCCGCCA